GGGCCGCUGGUCUAGUGGUAUGAUUCUCGCUUAGGGUAACACCCUACAGCAGUGUUUUGCGAGACGUCCCGGGUUCAAUCCCCGGGUGGCCCC